CUAAAAAAAAGAAAUUGAGAAAAUUUUAGAUGGUAAAGAUUGCUUAGGUGAUUACAGCCACUGGCAGUGACGAAGGCAGUUACGGUCAAGGACAAGAUCUAGCUACCUUCUAUUUGGCCGCGAAAAGCCUAUGCACAAGGUCCUAGGCAGAGGGAAAUGUCCUGUAGCAGAAUAUGCAUUCCAUUGACAAGCAAGGAUUAUGGGACCUUCAACAGUCCUUAUUCUGGAGCAAUCUUUCACAUCACUGCCCAU